GGGGUAGUAUUUAUUACGUAAGCGCUAUGUAUGGCGAAUCGUGCAUGCUGCUACUAAGAACCAGCAAUACCUUUUGAAGAUUUUCUAUCUCC
rfam:Glossina morsitans morsitans, isolate Yale, WGS project CCAG01000000 data, contig: ctg10002281